AUUGAACGCUGGCGGCAGGCCUAACACAUGCAAGUCGAGCGGAUGAAGGGAGCUUGCUCCUGGAUUCAGCGGCGGACGGGUGAGUAAUGCCUAGGAAUCUGCCUUGUAGUGGGGGAUAACGUCCGGAAACGGGCGCUAAUACCGCAUACGUCCUGAGGGAGAAAGUGGGGGAUCUUCGGACCUCACGCUAUCAGAUGAGCCUAGGUCGGAUUAGCUAGUUGGUGGGGUAAAGGCCUACCAAGGCGACGAUCCGUAACUGGUCUGAGAGGAUGAUCAGUCACACUGGAACUGAGACACGGUCCAGACUCCUACGGGAGGCAGCAGUGGGGAAUAUUGGACAAAGGGCGAAAGCCUGAUCCAGCCAUGCCGCGUGUGUGAAGAAGGUCUUCGGAUUGUAAAGCACUUUAAGUUGGGAGGAAGGGCAGUAAGUUAAUACCUUGCUGUUUUGACGUUACCAACAGAAUAAGCACCGGCUAACUUCGUG
rnacentral:rRNA from 1 species